rnacentral:sRNA from 1 species
UACUUUGUCUAAAUUUUACUCAAUCCCGGCCUUCAUAAUUGUAGAAAAUUGACACAACGGUAUAUUAUGUAAAAUAAAAUCCCAAGGAAAUUUUUUUAAAAAAUUACUACUAACCGGGAAAAUCAAACAACUAUAUCAAAGUAGAUAAUUUUAAUCAUUAGAUUUAUUCAAUUUUGUGAUCCAAUGGAAAAUCCACACAAGUCGGACGAUAUCCGUAAUAAAAGUUUUAUGAAAACCCCGAAAACUCUAAAACUGCUGAAUUAACAAACAAAGUGAACAUUUUUAUACCGAUAACAAAGACAGGCACCUGACGUUAGAAAUAUUUUUUUACAAUAAGAUUCCAAGAACUUUGACAAUAAAAAGGUUUGUCACGGUCGCCAUUUUGAUUUUUAAGACCGACUUAUCUGACACGAUUUUCUUUAUUUGCGAUUCAUGCAAAAUUAAUAGGUAAAAAUAAAUCUGUUCGCCACUUUCUACUUUUUUGUGUAAACUCGUGCAUCACCUUCACGAAUUACGAUACAACCGUUCCUUUCAUUAAAAAUCAUACUCCGAAAAUCAGAGAUAUAAAUAACAGAGAUUGUCAACUCCGCCAUUAGCGUGUAAAUGUUACGGGACCAACCUUACUUUGAGAACUACAAGUGCAACAGCAAUCUUGUAUAAGUCAUUAAAUUUGAACCUGAUAGUGAACAUGAACAUGAACCUGUAAAUAUUUUAAGCAUGUUUUAUUUAUGAAAUAUUUACAAAAACUCUUUUUUUUUAGUUUUGAAAUUACUUUUUUAAAACUUAUUGACUUUUUACAAAGUAAUGGUAAUGCAUUACUCUACUCAUGUAAUGGUAAUGUAAUGCAUUACUUCAAGAAAAUUAAGUAAUGGUAAUUGUAAUUUAAUGCCCUAAUUCAUGAAGUAAUGGUAAUGUAAUGCAUUAUUUUACAAUGUAAUUCACCCCAAGCCUGAUUCCAACUAAGCCGGAAAACAUGAACAUUAACAUUAAACUUGGUUCUUCAAUCGAUAAGAUUGUAUAUAUUAUAUGAUGUAUAAGUCUUCCAAAAUGUAUAAUCUAUUAUAGAUUUUGCUUACAAUACAUUGUUUAAUAUUUAAAUUCAGUUUAAUUAACUAAAGAGCCAACGAACGAGAAGGC